GAGAACCGUUGCCCAGCGACGAGUAUUUCGCCGCCACAUUCUGAGACCGAGAAAGCUGAGAAUCUAUUCUCGGCAACUGGUCAACCGGCGUUGCGAUCCGGAGGCAGGCGACGUGAGCAGAGAGCAGCUGUUCGUAAAGCGGAUGCGCCAGAAUUUCAGCCUUAAACCGCGCAUUCUGCCAAUUCAUCGCCGCCUCUCCACCAUGAGCACCUCCAUUACCAUCGCUCUCAACCGCCACAUCGUCG
rnacentral:misc_RNA from 1 species